GAUGAAGAACGUAGCGAAAUGCGAUAAGUAGUGUGAAUUACAGAAUUCAGUGAAUCAUCGAAUCUUUGAACGCACAUUGCGCCCCUUGGUAUCCCGAGGGGCAUGCCUGUUCGAGCGUCAUUUCACCACUCAAGCCUGGCUUGGUGUUGGGCGACGUCCCCUUUGGGGACGCGCCUCGAAACGCUCGGCGGCGUGGCACCGGCUUUAAGCGUAGCAGAAUCUUUCGCUUUGGAAGUCGGGGCCCCGUCUGCCGGAAGACCUACUCGCAAGGUUGACCUCGGAUCAGGCAGGGAUACCCGCUGAACUUAAGCAUAUCAAUAAGCGGAGGA
rnacentral:misc_RNA from 1 species